rnacentral:lncRNA from 1 species
GCACAUGCGCAGAAUCAUCGUGGUGCACGGCUCUCCCGUUGCUUCUUCGGUUGCAGUCCUCUUGGCUUCUUGCGCGUGCGUGUAGCGCUUUUGCAAAGCCGCGGAGGUGAAGCUAACGUAGAGGCUGUGGGGCCAAGGGGUCCUCUUAUAGCUAUCAGCCCACAGGCAUUUAGUCUACGUUGGAGGUAAACAAAUACGGGUCCAGCUUAGGAGAAAACAAAAACGUCUUACAGCCAGUGUCUAAACUCCAAACAACGGAAUGUAUCAAUGAGACCUUGUAUAUGGAUACACGUGCAUUUAAAACCGCCCUGCCGGCGUGUAGAGCUCUUGCCGUUCGCCAGCGCUUUACAGGGGUUAUCGCACUUAAGCCUCGGAACAACUUUACCAGGUAUUCUCCACUGGUUGAAUGCAAAUGGAAGCCAGAGGAAAAGGGAACCCUUGACACAGUUUUCAUAUAGACUGGCCUCCAGGGCAGACAGCAG